rnacentral:rRNA from 1 species
UUUGAUCCUGGCUCAGAUUGAACGCUGGCGGCAGGCCUAACACAUGCAAGUCGAGCGGUAACAUUUCUAGCUUGCUAGAAGAUGACGAGCGGCGGACGGGUGAGUAAUGCUUGGGAAUAUGCCUUAGGGUGGGGGACAACAGUUGGAAACGACUGCUAAUACCGCAUAACGUCUACGGACCAAAGGGGGCUUCGGCUCUCGCCCUUAGAUUAGCCCAAGUGGGAUUAGCUAGUUGGUGAGGUAAUGGCUCNCCAAGGCGACGAUCCCUAGCUGGUUUGAGAGGAUGAUCAGCCACACUGGAACUGAGACACGGUCCAGACUCCUACGGGAGGCAGCAGUGGGGAAUAUUGCACAAUGGGCGCAAGCCUGAUGCAGCCAUGCCGCGUGUGUGAAGAAGGCCUUAGGGUUGUAAAGCACUUUCAGUAAGGAGGAAAAGGUUAGUAGUUAAUACC